rfam:Acanthisitta chloris contig16819, whole genome shotgun sequence.
CCUUCGAUAGCUCAGCUGGUAGAGCGGAGGACUGUAGGCUUCCUUGCACGGCCAUCCUUAGGUCGCUGGUUCAACUCCGGCUCGAAGGA